rnacentral:rRNA from 1 species
AUUGAACGCUGGCGGCAGGCCUAACACAUGCCAGUCGAGCGGAGCGGCGGACGGGCGAGUAAUGCCUAGGACUCUGCCAGUUAGUGGGGGAUAACGUCCGGAAACGGGCGCCAAUACCGCAUACUAUUAGAUGAGCCUAGGUCGGAUUAGCUAGUUGGGGGGGUAAAGGCCUACCUAGGCGACGAGCCGUAUCUGGACUGAGAGGAUGAUCAGUCACACUGGAACUGAGACACGGUCCAGACUCCAACGGGAGGCAGCAGUGGGGAAUAGUGGACAAUGGGCGAAAGCCUGAUCCAGCCAUGCCGCGGGUGUGAAGAAGGUAUUCGGAUUGGAAAGCACUUUAAGUUGGGAGGCGUUAUCAACAGAAUAAGCACCGGCUAACUUCGUGCCAGGAGCCGCGGUAAUAC